rnacentral:rRNA from 1 species
AGUUUGAUCCUGGCUCAGGAUGAACGCUAGCGACAGGCCUAACACAUGCAAGUCGAGGGGUAACAGGGGCUUCGGCCCGCUGACGACCGGCGCACGGGUGAGUAACGCGUAUGCAACCUGCCUGUAACAGCGGGAUAGCUCCCUGAAAGGGGAAUUAACACCGCAUAAGACCACGCUCUCGCAUGGGGACGGGGUAAAAUAUUUAUAGGUUACAGAUGGGCAUGCGUGACAUUAGUUAGUUGGUGAGGUAACGGCUCACCAAGACUGCGAUGUCUAGGGGUUCUGAGAGGAACGCCCCCCACAUUGGGACUGGGACACGGCCCAAACUCCUACGGGAGGCAGCAGUGAGGAAUAUUGGUCAAUGGACGGAAGUCUGAACCACCCAUGCCGCGUGAAGGAAGACUGCCCUAUGGGUUGUAAACUUCUUUUGCAGCAGAGCAAUAAGGCGUACGUGUACGCCGAUGAGAGUAUGUUGCGAAUAAGCAUCGGCUAACUCCGUGCCAGCAGCCGCGGUAAUACGGAGGAUGCGAGCGUUAUCCGGAUUUAUUGGGUUUAAAGGGUGCGUAGGCGGCCAUUUAAGUCAGCGGUGAAAUUUUGCAGCUUAACUGUAACAGUGCCGUUGAUACUGUUUGGCUAGGAUUUGGUUGUAGUGUGCGGAAUGUGUGGUGUAGCGGUGAAAUGCUUAGAUAUCACACAGAACACCGAUUGCGAAGGCAGCACACUAAGUCAUUAUUGACGCUGAGGCACGAAAGUGUGGGGAUCAAACAGGAUUAGAUACCCUGGUAGUCCACACUGUAAACGAUGAUAACUCGCUGUCGGCGAUACACAGUCGGUGGCCAAGCGAAAGCAUUAAGUUAUCCACCUGGGGAGUACGACCGCAAGGUUGAAACUCAAAGGAAUUGACGGGGGCCCGCACAAGCGGAGGAACAUGUGGUUUAAUUCGAUGAUACGCGAGGAACCUUACCCGGGCUCGAACGGUGCAUGAAUAUACGAGAGAUUGUAUAGUCCUUCGGGACAUGUAUCGAGGUGCUGCAUGGUUGUCGUCAGCUCGUGCCGUGAGGUGUCGGCUUAAGUGCCAUAACGAGCGCAACCCUUGUCAUUAGUUGCCAUCAGGUCAAGCUGGGGACUUUAAUGAGACUGCCACCGUAAGGUGUGAGGAAGGGGGGGAUGACGUCAAAUCAGCACGGCCCUUAUGUCCGGGGCGACACACGUGUUACAAUGGGAGGUACAGAGGGCAGCUAUCCGGUGACGGAAUGCUAAUCUCCAAAACCUUUCUCAGUUCGGAUUGGAGUCUGCAACUCGACUCCAUGAAGGUGGAUUCGCUAGUAAUCGCGCAUCAGCCAUGGCGCGGUGAAUACGUUCCCGGGCCUCGCACAAAGCGCCCGUCAAG